CCUACGGGCGGCAGCAGUGGGGAAUAUUGCACAAUGGGGGAAACCCUGAUGCAGCGACGCCGCGUGAGUGAAGAAGUAUUUCGGUACGUAAAGCUCUAUCAGCAGGGAAGAAAAUGACGGUACCUGACUAAGAAGCCCCGGCUAACUACGUGCCAGCAGCCGCGGUAAUACGUAGGGGGCAAGCGUUAUCCGGAUUUACUGGGUGUAAAGGGAGCGUAGACGGCAGCGCAAGUCUGGAGUGAAAUCCCAUGGCUUAACCAUGGAACUGCUUUGGAAACUGUGCAGCUAGAGUGCAGGAGAGGUAAGCGGAAUUCCGAGUGUAGCGGUGAAAUGCGUAGAUAUUAGGAGGAACACCAGUGGCGAAGGCGGCUUACUGGACUGUAACUGACGUUGAGGCUCGAAAGCGUGGGGAGCAAACAGGAUUAGAUACCCGGGUAGUC
rnacentral:rRNA from 1 species